GACGAACGCUGUCGGCGUGCUUAACACAUGCAAGUCGAACGGAAAGGCCCUGCUUUUGUGGGGUGCUCGAGUGGCGAACGGGUGAGUAACACGUGAGUAACCUGCCCUUGACUUUGGGAUAACUUCAGGAAACUGGGGCUAAUACCGGAUAGGAGCUCCUGCUGCAUGGUGGGGGUUGGAAAGUUUCGGCGGUUGGGGAUGGACUCGCGGCUUAUCAGCUUGUUGGUGGGGUAGUGGCUUACCAAGGCUUUGACGGGUAGCCGGCCUGAGAGGGUGACCGGCCACAUUGGGACUGAGAUACGGCCCAGACUCCUACGGGAGGCAGCAGUGGGGAAUAUUGCACAAUGGGCGGAAGCCUGAUGCAGCAACGCCGCGUGCGGGAUGACGGCCUUCGGGUUGUAAACCGCUUUCGCCUGUGACGAAGCGUGAGUGACGGUAAUGGGUAAAGAAGCACCGGCUAACUACGUACCAGCAGCCGCGGUGAUACGUAGGGUGCGAGCGUUGUCCGGAUUUAUUGGGCGUAAAGGGCUCGUAGGUGGUUGAUCGCGUCGGAAGUGUAAUCUUGGGGCUUAACCCUGAGCGUGCUUUCGAUACGGGUUGACUUGAGGAAGGUAGGGGAGAAUGGAAUUCCUGGUGGAGCGGUGGAAUGCGCAGAUAUCAGGAGGAACACCAGUGGCGAAGGCGGUUCUCUGGGCCUUUCCUGACGCUGAGGAGCGAAAGCGUGGGGAGCGAACAGGCUUAGAUACCCUGGUAGUCCACGCUGUAAACGGUGGGUACUAGGUGUGGGGUCCAUUCCACGGGUUCCGUGCCGUAGCUAACGCUUUAAGUACCCCGCCUGGGGAGUACGGCCGCAAGGCUAAAACUCAAAGGAAUUGACGGGGCCCCGCACAAGCGGCGGAGCAUGCGGAUUAAUUCGAUGCAACGCGUAGAACCUUACCUGGGUUUGACAUGGAUCGGGAGUGCUCAGAGAUGGGUGUGCCUCUUUUGGGGUCGGUUCACAGGUGGUGCAUGGCUGUCGUCAGCUCGUGUCGUGAGAUGUUGGGUUAAGUCCCGCAACGAGCGCAACCCUUGUUCACUGUUGCCAGCACGUUAUGGUGGGGACUCAGUGGAGACCGCCGGGGCCAACUCGGAGGAAGGUGGGGAUGACGUCAAGUCAUCAUGCCCCUUAUGUCCAGGGCUUCACGCAUGCUACAAUGGCUGGUACAGAGAGUGGCGAGCCUGUGAGGGUGAGCGAAUCUCGGAAAGCCGGUCUCAGUUCGGAUUGGGGUCUGCAACUCGACCUCAUGAAGUCGGAGUCGCUAGUAAUCGCAGAUCAGCAACGCUGCGGUGAAUACGUUCCCGGGGCU
rnacentral:rRNA from 1 species